ACGAACGCUGGCGGCGUGCCUUACACAUGCAAGUCGAACGGGAUCCAUCUUGAUUCUUUUUGUUUCUUGGCGGUGAGAGUGGCGAACGGGUGAGUAACACGUGAGUAACCUGCCCUUUUCUUUGGAUAACCGCAUGAAAGUGUGGCUAAUACGGGAUAUUCUGCUUCCUUCGCAUGGGGGUGGUGGGAAAGGCUUCAAUGUUUUUGUUGUUGUGGAUUGGGAUGGGCUCGCGGCUUAUCAGCUUGUUGGUGGGGUGAUGGCUUACCAAGGCUUUGACGGGUAGCCG
rnacentral:rRNA from 1 species